AGAACAUUCCCGACUUUGUUAAGGAGAUAAAAGGCACCAUUCGAUGGCCAGAAUUCAAUCUGAAGCACGAUCGGAUGGUUGAGAAUGAAUCUGACCAUAAGAAGGAUUUAAAUAGUAGUUUUGGAUCAGAUUUGGGUAGUCCAAGGAAGAUCCGACAGUCAGAAUUAAAUGAUACGAGUAUAAUACAUUUUCUAAGAGUUUUAGGACUCCUUUUGCUACCAAAAAAAGAUAAAAAAAUUUAUCUAUAAAUAGGAGGUCCGAAAAUAAGUUUUAAGAGAAGAAAAAAUUAGUAGAAUAGUAAAAAAAUUUAAAAAAAUAAUAUAUAUUUAGGAACCC
rnacentral:lncRNA from 1 species